CUCCAGGAGAGUGAAGACUGACUGAGAAACUUGCAGAAAGAAAACACCAGGAAGAAAAAUGAAGAUGGUCACAGUCAAAGCUAGGUACUAAGCAGGGAAGAGAAUUUAGCCCCGAAAGAACAUUAAUAAGAAAAGGGAUCGCCUGUGGAUAAGAAGACAAAGCAAGAACAUCACAAAGGGUCAUUUAAGCAGAUACUAUACAAAAGUGGAUUUUAAGUGAACCAUGUGAACACUUAAGUGGAUGAGAAAAAUGUUCUUGAACUCGGAGCUGUACAAGGCAAAGAUACAGUUUAAAAUACAAAUGAGAACAGUCUAAAUAGAAAACACACAUGCACACACACUUCUGCUUGAAUUACUAUUGUUGCAUUUGUUUUACAUAAAUUAUGAGAGAGAAGGUAGUUAUGGCACUAUAUAGUCUUCAAGUCUGUUAGCAACUGUACACAGGUUUAUAGCUUUGCUGCUCAGGUGUGUUAACUAAUUUACUUACAAAAUUGUGCCAUAUGAAUAAAUGACUAUAUGCCUUCCACUUUCAGUACCUGCUGCUUGUUCAAUAUGCAGACUACACUACAGCUUCUGAAACUUUUAUAUCCUCCUUUGCAGUCCUCCUAACUCAACUGACUGUGGUGUGCAUACUGAAGUUUAGAGACGUUUGUUCCACAAACUUUAGUCUCCUCACCCUUAGCAUUUGGAAAAACACAGCACAUGGACUAUUACUACAUGCGAGUAUGUUCUUUUCCUAACUUUGAUGGAGGACUGGGACAUUGUUACAUAGUAAAAUUAGAUAUUCUUUUCAUCACAUUCUCCCAAAA